rnacentral:lncRNA from 1 species
AUGUUCUGCACCUUCCCCUCCCUUCCCCUACCCACACCCAUCCUCACACAUGCUCCUCCCUGCCCCUGACACUGACAACCUAGCAAUCACUAGGAGAAAAGCCUGGCAUGUGUGGGAGCCACCCUCAGAGAAGCUGUCCCGAAAGAGAGGUGCUAACUAGGUGAAGACAUAUGACUUUCUGAGCACUAUUUCUUAAUACUAAUGGAGGGAGAUUGUGGCAUGGAGCCAGGAAAGAGAAAAGGCAUGAAAAGAAGAACUAAUUUGGAGCUGGCGGGGUGAGUGUUUUCUGGCUUAUUUAAAAACGUAGAUACAGAAUUCAAACAGGGAAGAGGAAUCUGACUACCAGAUGGAGAUAGGAUGUCAACAAUGGAGUCGACAAUGGCCAGGCAUGAAGGGAUAUAUUUUGACAUCAGGGAAGCCAUAUAAAGAAUACUGCUUGGUGGAUCGGAUGGGUUCAUCUUAUAUUCAGUGUUUCAUUUCCACUUAAAUGCCUUGGAAGCAGAGGUUGAGGUUACUGACUUGGCCCCAUAUUAAGGAAAAAUCAUAACCCAGGCCUUCAGAGACCUUCCAGGCUACAAGGGAAAAAGUCAAACAUGUGGCUAAUGGGCAUAUAUAAGGAUCUUCACUGAACACGGACUUUUGAAUGUCUAUGAUGUAGCAAGCACUGUGCUGGACACCACAUAAGCCAGAGUCCCUUCCCUCAGGGAACAUCCCUUAAACAUGGCAAACCUAUGGAGGUGUGCCAGGACAAGGGUACUCAGAAGGGUGGUAUGGUAUACUGGGAAGCUCACAGACCACCUUGCUUUGAGUGCCUCUCAGCCGCUCUCUUGCUCUGUGAUUUUAAGGAAGUCCUUGAACCUCUCUGAGCCUGCUUUUUCCAUCUGCAGAUCGGUGAUAAUGAAACCUACCUUGCUGUUUCAUGUUGAGGAAUCACUGCGGGAAGGGUUGAUUUUGGCAGCAGGAGCCUGUACGCUGUGCUAAUUCUCCAUCUCAGGAAGAAACAGAAUCAUGAAGUCUAAAGAAACUGAGGUCUCCUAAAGUGCUGCCUGUCAGUUGAAGCCAACAAGAAACCAGAUGGCCCAGGAGUCUUGUUGACGUGGUCCAUGUAGACCAAUCUCCCAGAGAAGAGCAAAGGUGGUGUAAGGGAGGACAGAUUAUUCCUCUACCCUCUUAGGUUCUGCAGCUGGGCCUGAGAAUUAAACUGACAAAAGACAGAUUAAAGGAGAAAAGCAUAUACAUUUUAUUUGAUGUUAAUAUUUUUGCAUGGCAUAGGAGCCUUCAUAGAAAAAAG